CAAAGCCGGCGCCAAGGACGGCGCGGCCACAGGAGAGGGGGAAAGACCACAGCCAGACGGGAGGGCCGAGAGAGGGAGCCCAGAGGGACGAGACACGAACCAGGCCCACGGGGCGCAGCAGCGCGAAAACCCACACGGGGGCAACCCCGAGAGGGAACCAAGGCAGCCGAGGGCCAGCGAGAAACAAAGGAAAAGGGCGGGGAAGACGGGGCCAGCCGCCGCGGAAACCGCAGCCCAAGGGGGCCGAAGAGAGCAAACGCGAGCCGGCGAAAACGGGAAACGGGAAGCAACCCGACCCGAGGAACGCAGACGGGACCGGGAGAGGCAGAGGACCGGGGAGGGGAAAACCGAACCAGAAGGACCACCGGGGCGAAGGCGCAGCAGAACGGACCGACGGGAGGGACGAAAGCCGGGGCGCAAACGGGAAGAACCCCGGAGCCAGGGGAAACGAGCAGACCGGGGGAAACCCGAGGGACAGGCCGGAGAGAAGCGAAGCGCCACCGGGAAGACGGCGCAAGG
rnacentral:rRNA from 1 species